rnacentral:rRNA from 1 species
UAAUACGGAGGGGGCAAGCGUUGUUCGGAGUCACUGGGCGUAAAGGGCGCGUAGGCGGUGCGUAAAGUCAGGCGUGAAAGCCCCGGGCUUAACCUGGGAAUUGCGCUUGAUACUGACGUGCUAGAGAACGGGAGAGGAUGGCGGAAUUCCCAGUGUAGAGGUGAAAUUCGUAGAUAUUGGGAAGAACACCGGUGGCGAAGGCGGCCAUCUGGACCGUUUCUGACGCUGAGGCGCGAAAGCGUGGGGAGCAAACAGGAUUAGAUACCCUGGUAGUCCACGCUGUAAACGAUGAGUGCUAGACGUUGGGGGCUUGGCUCUCAGUGUCGCAGCUAACGCAAUAAGCACUCCGCCUGGGGAGUACGGCCGCAAGGUUA